rnacentral:rRNA from 1 species
CACGUAGGGCGCAAGCGUUGUCCGGAAUUAUUGGGCGUAAAGAGCUCGUAGGCGGUCUGUUACGUCUGCUGUGAAAACCCGGGGCUUAACCCUGGGCUUGCAGUGGAUACGGGCAGACUAGAGGCAGGUAGGGGAGAAUGGAAUUCCCGGUGUAGCGGUGAAAUGCGCAGAUAUCGGGAGGAACACCAGUGGCGAAGGCGCUGCUCUGGGCCGGUACUGACGCUGAGGAGCGAAAGCGUGGGUAGCAAACAGG